rnacentral:tRNA from 1 species
GCCACCGUAGCUCAGUUGGUAGAGCAACUGAUUCGUAAUCAGUAGGUCAGCGGUUCGAUUCCGCUCGGUGGCU